AACGAACGCUGGCGGCAGGCUUAACACAUGCAAGUCGAACGCCCCGCCAGGGGAGUGGCAGCCGGGUGCGUAACGCGUGGGAACAUACCCUUUUCUACGGAAUAGCUCUGGGAAACUGGAAUUAAUACCGUAUACGCCCUACGGGGGAAAGAUUUAUCGGGGAAGGAGUGGCUCGCGUUGGCUUAGCUAGUUGGUGGGGUCAAGGCCUAACAAGGCGACGGUCCGUAGCUGGUCUGAGAGGAUGAUCAGCCACAUUGGGACUGGGACACGGCCCAAACUCCUACGGGAGGAAGCAGUGGGGGAUAUUCGACAAUGGGCUCAAGCCUGAUCCAGCCAUGCCGCGUGAGUGAUAAAGGCCUUAGGGUUGUAAAGCUCUUUCACCGAUGAAGAUAAUGACGGUAGUCGGAGAAGAAGCCCCGGCUAACUUCGUGCCAGCCGCCGCGGUAAGAC
rnacentral:rRNA from 1 species